rnacentral:lncRNA from 1 species
AUUAAAUGUAAAUAACACUCGGAUGAGAAGAUGAAAACAAGCUCCUGGUCUUGUUCAUGGGGGGGAAAGGGUGGUGAAUUCUCCCUCUCUGUAGUAUGGCAGAGUUAAGUUUCUGCUUUCCCUUGGUCUGACGAUUUUGCCUUUUUGUGGUGGGAUUCCAGCUAAUGCUGCAAAGCUUUCAGGUUCAAUGGGACCAUCACUCUCUGCAGUUUAUCAGUCUUUGGGCGAUGGUCGCACACUACCUUCCUGCAGAAGCCAUGGAAACGAUUUUCACUGCACUGUAAUUUGGAAGACAACCAGACUGAUAAUGGAGGGAGAGACCCUAGGUAUUUGCAAGGAUGAAGAUAGGAAGUAGAUUUGACUGAAGUGACACAGUUCAUGGGGCAUGGAAGUAACCCUUGAGAAUGCAGCUCUCAACCCUUUUGAACUAUGAUGGACCAUUAUUGUGGUUGAUACAAAAGGAAAUGAAAUAAUCUAAU